rnacentral:piRNA from 1 species
UGUCAGUUUUGAAUUAACAGU